UGGGGAAUAUUGGACAAUGGGCGAAAGCCUGAUCCAGCCAUGCCGCGUGUGUGAAGAAGGUCUUCGGAUUGUAAAGCACUUUAAGUUGGGAGGAAGGGCAGUAAGCGAAUACCUUGCUGUUUUGACGUUACCGACAGAAUAAGCACCGGCUAACUCUGUGCCAGCAGACGCGGUAAUACAGAGGGUGCAAGCGUUAAUCGGAAUUACUGGGCGUAAAGCGCGCGUAGGUGGUUCGUUAAGUUGAAUGUGAAAGCCCCGGGCUCAACCUGGGAACUGCAUCCAAAACUGGCGAGCUAGAGUAGGGCAGAGGGUGGUGGAAUUUCCUGUGUAGCGGUGAAAUGCGUAGAUAUAGGAAGGAACACCAGUGGCGAAGGCGACCACCUGGGCUCAUACUGACACUGAGGUGCGAAAGCGUGGGGAGCAAACAGG
rnacentral:rRNA from 1 species